rnacentral:rRNA from 1 species
UGGGGAAUAUUGCGCAAUGGCCGAAAGGUUGACGCAGCGACGCCGCGUGUGGGAGGAAGCCCUUCGGGGUGUAAACCACUGUCAGAAGGGACGAAACCCGAGCACUCGAAUAGGGUGAUCGAUUGACGGUACCUUCAAAGGAAGCGCCGGCUAACUCCGUGCCAGCAGCCGCGGUAAGACGGAGGGCGCGAGCGUUGUUCGGAAUUACUGGGCGUAAAGCGCACGCAGGUGGUUUCUUAAGUCCACUGUUAAAUCACGGGGCUCAACCCCGGAGGUGCAGCGGAUACUGAGAGACUGGAGACCGGUAGAGGCUAGCGGAAUUCCUGGUGUAGCGGUGGAAUGCGUAGAUAUCAGGAGGAACACCGGUGGCGAAGGCGGCUAGCUGGGCCGGUUCUGACGCUCAUGUGCGAAAGCGUGGGGAGCAAACAGG